UGGGGCGGGGCCUGCAUUGCUGCAGAGCCAGCUUUUGAAGGUAGCGACUGCCUCUCAGGAUCCUAGGUCUCAAAGCCAGAGCUCGGUAUUCUGCUCACAAAAGCGAUUGUGACAGGGCUCCCCUCCUGCGGCGCUCCACCAAGUAUCGCUUCACCUCAGUCUGUUGGGGCCUUGGUUCAGGCUGCGGCCUACCAAGGCUUUGAAGGGCCCCAGAGGCCCUGAGCACGGGACCCGCCCUCUCUGCCUGAACUUGAGCAUCUUCAUGGCCUUCACUGUAAUGCUGACUGCAGUCUAGUGAGCGCUAGAUUCCUCAUUUCAUGCUCAUGCUUGUUACUCAACAUUAUUGCCUCUGAAUGUCGUGAUCACAUGCUGAAACCAACCUGACCACCCAGCACGAAAUUUUUACCUAGGAUUCAAGAGAUGAGAUGAAGCCUCUUUCAGAGCUCCCUGCCAGUGUCUGCAGUGGCUUCAGGAUGAGGAAAUUGAGGCUCAGAAAUCCAUGCCCAAGGACAUGUGGCUGUUGUUUCAGCCAGGAAUGUCUAGGUUAUGCUGUGCUCUGGACUUUGACAGAUCAUCAUUUAUAAUUUGGUUCUCCAGGUUCUAUAACUGAUGCUGAUGUCCUUGCCCUCCUUAAUUACAUUGACCUUCUAAUCAACUCCAGAGUGGAAUUAUAUACACUUAACUACAGUGGGAAUGGGACACUGAUAAAAGAAUGAACAAAGACCUACAGGAGACGCAUAAACAAGAAAGCUGUCAGACAGUGCUGGAUACUCAGUGGACAAAUAAAGUAGCCUGCCAUUCCAUCUAAUAUUGAGAAAACCAAUAUUGGACAAGAAAACCAAUCUUGUUCCCCUGGGUAGGGCAGCAGAACCCAGUGAGGUGAAUGCUACAGGAACCAGGCCAAAGGACCGAGAGAGACCUGGGACCCUGACCCGACUUCCGCUGGGGGUUGAGUAGUUUCAGAAGUACUUCUUUGGAAGAGAGAGUCACUUCUCCCAGUCCAGCUCUUUCUGUGACUUUACAGAGAGGAAUAUACAAGAAGCCAGUAGGAAGCCCAGAAGAGAUUUGCCAGCCCAAAUUUCAUGCCAAACAAGCCCACUGCACGGAAACCUGCACUUACAGAAAGAUAAAUCAGAACGCAGUGACUCCCUUCUUCAAGGACUUGGAAAGAGUACUUGAAAUGUGUCCAAAAGUAGUUUGGGAAGGCUUUAAAUAUAAAAUAAAGCAUAAAUUUUAAAUUAG